GAUGAUUAAUACAAUAAUCAAGAGUAUGUUACAAGUUAAUUCGAUACAUCAUUUAUAAAUCUGUUACUCUCAGCACAUUAGUAUAAUAAGAUAAAGAUGCAUUUCAUUGUUUAUAUGGAUGAAUCUAACAUUAAGUUGCAGCAAAGUGUGGAUUGAGUCGACCCCGGCACAUCAAGAAACCAUCUGGCACACUUCUGCAAAAAUGG
rnacentral:lncRNA from 1 species